rnacentral:rRNA from 1 species
AACGCGAAGAACCUUACCAGGGCUUGACAUGCACGGUGCAGCCGUAGAGAUACGGUGUCCUUUGGGGUCGUGCACAGGUGGUGCAUGGUUGUCGUCAGCUCGUGUCGUGAGAUGUUGGGUUAAGUCCCGCAACGAGCGCAACCCUCGUCCUGUAUUGCCAGCAGCGGUUUCGGCCGGCUGGGGACUUGCGGGAGACUGCCGGGGUCAACUCGGAGGAAGGUGGGGACGACGUCAAAUCAUCAUGCCCCUUAUGUCCUGGGCUGCACGCAUGCUACAAUGGCCGGUACAGAGGGCUGCGAUACCGUGAGGUGGAGCGAAUCCCGUAAAGCCGGUCUCAGUUCGGAUCGGGGUCUGCAACUCGACCCCGUGAAGUCGGAGUCGCUAGUAAUCGCAGAUCAGCAACGCUGCGGUGAAUACGUUCCCGGGCCUUGUA